rnacentral:rRNA from 1 species
GACGAACGCUGGCGGCGUGCUUAACACAUGCAAGUCGAACGGAAAGGCCCUGCUUUUGUGGGGUGCUCGAGUGGCGAACGGGUGAGUAACACGUGAGUAACCUGCCCUUGACUUUGGGAUAACUUCAGGAAACUGGGGCUAAUGCCGGAUAGGAGCUCCUGCUGCAUGGUGGGGGUUGGAAAGUUUCGGCGGUUGGGGAUGGACUCGCGGCUUAUCAGCUUGUUGGUGGGGUAGUGGCUUACCAAGGCUUUGACGGGUAGCCGGCCUGAGAGGGUGACCGGCCACAUUGGGACUGAGAGAGGGACCAGACUCCUACGGGAGGCAGCAGUGGGGAAUAUUGCACAAUGGGCGGAAGCCUGAUGCAGCAACGCCGCGUGCGGGAUGACGGCCUUCGGGUUGUAAACCGCUUUCGCCUGUGACGAAGCGUGAGUGACGGUAAUGGGUAAAGAAGCACCGGCUAACUACGUG